AGCGAACGCUGGCGGCAUGCUUAACACAUGCGAGUCGCACGGUCGGGUUUCGGCCCGGCAGUGGUGGACGGGUGAGUAACGCGUAGGGAUUUAUCCAUAGGUGGGGGACAACCGUGGGAAACUACGGCUAAUACCGCAUGACACCUGAGGGUCAAAGGCCGCGAGGCCGCCUAUGGAGGAGCCUGCGUCCGAUUAGCUAGUUGGUGGGGUAAAGGCCUACCAAGGCGGUGAUCGGUAGCUGGCUGAGAGGAUGAUCAGCCACACUGGGACUGAGACACGGCCCAGACUCCUACGGGAGGCAGCAGUGGGGAAUAUUGGACAAUGGGCGCAAGCCUGAUCCAGCAAUGCCGCGUGGGUGAAGAAGGUCUUCGGAUUGUAAAGCCCUUUCGGCGGGGACGAUGAUGACGGUACCCGCAGAAGAAG
rnacentral:rRNA from 1 species